CCUACGGGAGGCAGCAGUGGGGAAUUUUGCGCAAUGGGGGCAACCCUGACGCAGCAACGCCGCGUGAGUGAUGAAGGCCUUCGGGUCGUAAAGCUCUGUCAGAGGGGAAGAAAUGCAGGUGGUGAACAACCAUUCUGUUUGACGGUACCCUCAAGGGAAGCACCGGCUAACUCCGUGCCAGCAGCCGCGGUAAUACGGAGGGUGCGAGCGUUGUUCGGAAUUAUUGGGCGUAAAGCGCGUGUAGGCGGUUUGUUAAGUUGGAGGUGAAAGCCCCGGGCUCAACCUGGGAAGUGCAUUGGAUACUGGCAGACUUGAGUACGGGAGAGGAGAGCGGAAUUCCCAGUGUAGGAGUGAAAUCCGUAGAUAUUGGGAGGAACACCGGUGGCGAAGGCGGCUCUCGGGACCGAUACUGACGCUGAGACGGGAAAGCGUGGGGAGCAAACAGGAUUAGAUCCCCCAGUAGU
rnacentral:rRNA from 1 species